rnacentral:rRNA from 1 species
AUGACGGGAGCUUGCUCCUUGAUUCAGCGGCGGACGGGUGAGUAAUGCCUAGGAAUCUGCCUGGUAGUGGGGGACAACGUUUCGAAAGGAACGCUAAUACCGCAUACGUCCUACGGGAGAAAGCAGGGGACCUUCGGGCCUUGCGCUAUCAGAUGAGCCUAGGUCGGAUUAGCUAGUUGGUGGGGUAAUGGCUCACCAAGGCGACGAUCCGUAACUGGUCUGAGAGGAUGAUCAGUCACACUGGAACUGAGACACGGUCCAGACUCCUACGGGAGGCAGCAGUGGGGAAUAUUGGACAAUGGGCGAAAGCCUGAUCCAGCCAUGCCGCGUGUGUGAAGAAGGUCUUCGGAUUGUAAAGCACUUUAAGUUGGGAGGAAGGGCAGUAAGUUAAUACCUUGCUGUUUUGACGUUACCGACAGAAUAAGCACCGGCUAACUCUGUGCCAGCAGCCGCGGUAAUACAGAGGGUGCAAGCGUUAAUCGGAAUUACUGGGCGUAAAGCGCGCGUAGGUGGUUUGUUAAGUUGGAUGUGAAAGCCCCGGGCUCAACCUGGGAACUGCAUCCAAAACUGGCAAGCUAGAGUACGGUAGAGGGUGGUGGAAUUUCCUGUGUAGCGGUGAAAUGCGUAGAUAUAGGAAGGAACACCAGUGGCGAAGGCGACCACCUGGACUGAUAC